CUCUCUGAAAUGAACCCUAGGAUUCCUAAACCUAAGCUCUGAUACCACUCUGUCACGCCCCGAACCCAGCACCUGAGUUGGCCACGUGACACGGCCGCACAAAUCCUAGAGCAGCACCCUAAGGAUCAUGUAAGACCUAAAUAAUUAACACCUUAAAAUUUUAAAUAACAAAGUAAAUACCAAAUAAAUCAACCGAGUCACAACUUCAAAUCAAAAGCAAACUUUGUUCAAUAUAAUUAUUUAAAUGUUCAUUGGUAUCAGAGAAUUUAAACUAACUGAACUACUAAAGGCUUCUGUUCUUAUUUGCUCUCGUCUAAAUCAUCCAAACUAAGCAUCCUGUG
rnacentral:lncRNA from 1 species